rnacentral:rRNA from 1 species
GUACGGGGGGGGCAAGCGGUUGUUCGGAAUUACUGGGCGUAAAGGGGUUCGUAGGUGGCCAACUAAGUCAGACGUGAAAUCCCUCAGCUUAACUGGGGAACUGCGUCUGAGACUGGAUGGCUUGAGUGCAGGAGAGGAACGCGGAAUUCCAGGUGUAGCGGUGAAAUGCGUAGAUAUCAAGAGGAACACCUGAGGUGAAGACGGGUUGCUGGGCCGACACUGACGCUGACAGCGCGAAAGCUAGGGGAGCGAACGGG